UACGAAGGGGGCUAGCGUUGUUCGGAUUUACUGGGCGUAAAGCGCACGUAGCGGGUCGUUAAGUCAGGGGUGAAAUCCCGGAGCUCAACUCCGGAACUGCCUUUGAUACUGGCGACCUUGAGGCCGGAAGAGGUUAGUGGAAUUCCCAGUGUAGAGGUGAAAUUCGUAGAUAUUGGGAAGAACACCAAGUGGCGAAGGCGG
rnacentral:rRNA from 1 species